rnacentral:lncRNA from 10 species
AGGGGCCAAGAUCACCUUACUGGUAUUUGCUGUGGUACCUGACAAUUACCUGCUGGCUCUCUUCUCCUUGGGUCCUCUGCGAAUCUGUGAACCCUGCUUAUUUUGUGCUCAAUUCAGUGCCCACGGCUCAACGGAUUGUUCUAUGACUAGUCCAGUCCUUCUCUUGGCAUGCUGCCUACUCCAUGUCAGAAGUUAAAAGGUUGCACUUCCUUAAAAUGCAGUAUUUUCCAACAGAACCUGCAUCAAUCAACCAAUUAGUAUAACUACGCAUGCACUGCUCACGGCUCCAUGCUGGCUAAUGAUCACUGGCUUUGUCUUAUGCAAGGCUGGUCUUUCCUCGAUCCAGCUAAGAAAUAACCACUUGAAAGGAAGUGCAUGGGGAGAUUUCAAACACAACAGGAAGAACAUCGUGUCAAAUUGCCAUAGUCGUACAAAAGGCAGCAUUUGCAGCAUCUGUCCAUACCUGCCCAUUACUUGUCUUAGCUGAGUGGCCAGCUAUGUGUAAGCCUGAAUGGUAGGAAGGUUUUCUGGAAGCAAUGACCAGUUAUGAAGUUUCUGUUGAGAUCCAGGGAGCAACUUUAGGUAAGCAUAUUUUUGUUAUCAUUCAGAGGGACAAGAGAUAGACCUUACAUCCAGUUCAUCAGUGCCAGAAGGGAGCUUUGCCAACAGGGUCUCCUCUUUGAUCACCACCUGGAUCUCCUCUGGAAUCCUGGGAAGGAAAGUGAUGGAUGUUGAUCAGAAUGCUGCUGUGGGCAGGGUUUUGAAGAAAACUAACCAAUUGAGUGUGUCUGGCUGUGGGAGAAAUUUUCCAAUUCCUGCAAAUAAGGCCAAAAUUAUGGGACCAUUUCUCUCCUCUUUCCUCCUCUUGAUCAUUAUCAGCAUCAUAAAAUCAACCAUAGGUGUGACUCUAGAGAGAUGGAAGUACGGCGAAGAAGGAACACUCAGCCAAGGGGCGUGGAGUCCUGGUUCUCUCCAGGCUCUUUGUGGUCUUGGACAACAAUUUGACUUUGUG